rnacentral:ncRNA from 1 species
AUGUUUAGUUGGGACGCGAUACUUGCCAUCCUUUCACUAUCAUAGGAACAGGUUAGGGAGAGGGGAGACACCUGGCCUGUGGCAGCCAAGCGUUCAUAGCGACGCUCCUUUUUGAUCCUUCGAUGCCGGCUCUUCCUAUCAUAAUGAAGCAGAAUUCAGUAAGCGUUAGAUUGUUCACCCACUAACAGGGAACCGACCUUGGAUUAGCCCGUCGUCAGAAACGUUAGUUUAACGCUACUAAUGAAAUGUUGUUGCAAUAAUUGAACUCACGAGAGGAACCGUUCAUUCGGAUAAUUGGUAUUUGGGCCGGCCUGCAGGCAAUGGCCCGAAUCUAUCAUCCGUUGGGUUAUGGCUGAACGCUUCUAAGUCAGAAACCGUGCUAGAACGCGACGAUUACUGCCUUUUCCGAUUUUUAGUUGCAUACAGUAGAUCUUCAGAUCCUGAGUCAUACUACAAGGGGUUGACCUUGCAGAGCGGAAGGCUUUGUGAGGCUCCUGCCAAUGUUAAUCAAAUAUUGGAAGAGAUAAAUCCAUUGCAGACGACUUUAUUUGAGCGGGGUAUUGUAAGCAGUAGAGUAGCAGAUUUAAAAGGGAUGCAGAGAGCAAAAAUAGGAUGU